rnacentral:rRNA from 1 species
UGAGGGGGGCUGCUCCUAGUACGAGAGGACCGGAGUGGACGCAUCACUGGUGUUCGGGUUGUCAUGCCAAUGGCACUGCCCGGUAGCUAAAUGCGGAAAAGAUAAGUGCUGAAAGCAUCUAAGCACGAAACUUGCCCCGAGAUGAGUCUUCCCUGAGACUUUGAGUCUCCUGAAGGAACGUUAAAGACGAUGACGUUGAUAGGCCGGGUGUGUAAGCGCAGCGAUGCGCUGAGCUAACCGGUACUAAUGAACCGUGAGGCUUAACCUUACAACGCCGAAG